AUAAUAAAUAUACACAUCUCACAGAGGAAGUAUUACGUAAACCAGUGUAUUUGAAAUAAAAGCGACUACAACUGGAUGAAUAAUGUAUUGUAAAAGUGUAUUUAUGUUUUUGUGGAUCGGCUAUGUGGUUUCGCAAGAAGUAUGCUACCACAAGCAGGGCACAACAGGAGUUUGCAAGAAUAUAAGAAACUGUCAGCCGGCCAUUGACGAUAUCAAGAAGCGAAUUACUCCACAGAUCUGCGGUUUUGAGG